rnacentral:rRNA from 1 species
AGCAGCCGCGGUAAUUCCAGCUCCAAUAGCGUAUAUUAAAGUUGCUGCAGUUAAAAAGCUCGUAGUUGAAUUUCGGGACCAUCAUGUCGGUCGUGCCUCGGUACGUACUGGCAUUGUUGGUUUCUCCCUUCUGACGAACCAUGAUGUCAUUUAUUUGGUGUUGUGGGAAAUCAGGACUGUUACUUUGAAAAAUUAGAGUGUUUAAAGCAGGCUCACGCUUGAAUACAUUAGCAUGGAAUAAUGAAAUAGGACGUUUGAUUCUAUUUUGUUGGUUUCUAGGAUCGACGUAAUGAUUAAUAGGGAUAGUUGGGGGCAUUAGUAUUCAAUUGUCAGAGGUGAAAUUCUUGGAUUUAUUGAAGACUAACUACUGCGAAAGCAUUUGCCAAGGAUGUUUUCAUUAAUCAAGAACGAAAGUUAGGGGAUCGAAGACGAUCAGAUACCGUCGUAGUC